rnacentral:rRNA from 1 species
CCUACGGGUGGCAGCAGUGGGGAAUAUUGCGCAAUGGGCGAAAGCCUGACGCAGCGACGCCGCGUGAGGGAUGAAGGUCUUCGGAUCGUAAACCUCUGUCAGCAGGGAAGAACGGUCACUGUGCUAAUCAGCAGUGAAUUGACGGUACCUGCAAAGGAAGCACCGGCUAACUCCGUGCCAGCAGCCGCGGUAAUACGGAGGGUGCGAGCGUUAAUCGGAAUUACUGGGCGUAAAGCGCUCGUAGGCGGUAUGUCAAGUCAAGGGGGAAAUCCCCGCGCUAAACGUGGGAACUGCCUUUGAAACUGGCAAACUGGAGUGUGUGAGAGGAUAGUGGAAUUCCAGGGGUAGGAGUGAAAUCCGUAGAUAUCUGGAGGAACAGCAGUGGCGAAGGCGACUAUCUGGCACAUAACUGACGCUGAGGAGCGAAAGCGUGGGUAGCAAACAGGAUUAGAUACCCCAGUAGUC